AGACGAACCGUCCGAACGUUAUUCGGUAUCACUGGGCUUAAAGAGUUCGUAGGCGGCCAUGUAGGUGAGAUGUGAAAUCCCACGGCUCAACCGUGGAACUGCGUUUCAAACCACAUGGCUUGAGGGAGAUAGAGGUGAGCGGAACAGAUGGUGGAGAGGUGAAAUGCGUUGAUAUCAUCUGGAACACCGGUGGCGAAAGCGGCUCACUGGAUCUCUUCUGCCGCUCACGAACGAAAGCUAGGGUAGCGAACGGGAUUAGAUACCCCGGUAGUCCUAGCCGUAAACGAUGAGCACUGGUCCGUGGGAACUUCCACAUUUUCUCGGACGUAGCGAAAGUGUUAAGUGCUCCGCCUGGGGAGUAUGGUCGCAAGGCUGAA
rnacentral:rRNA from 1 species